rnacentral:rRNA from 1 species
AUUGAACGCUGGCGGCAGGCCUAAUACAUGCAAGUCGAACGAGCGGCGGACGGGUGAGUAAUGUCUGGGAAACUGCCUGAUGGAGGGGGAUAACUACUGGAAACGGUAGCUAAUACCGCAUACGGUCCGAUCUGCCCAGAUGGGAUGAGCUAGCGGGGGGGGUAACGGCUCACCUAGGCGACGAUCCCUAGCUGGUCUGAGAGGCUGACCAGCCACACUGGAACUGAGACACGGUCCAGACUCCUACGGGAGGCAGCAGUGGGGAAUAUUGCACAAUGGGCGCAAGCCUGAUGCAGCCAUGCCGCGUGUAUGAAGAAGGCCUUCGGGUUGUAAAGUACUUUCAGCGGGGAAGCGUUACCCGCAGAAGAAGCACCGGCUAACUCCGUGCCAGCAGCCGCGGUAAUUC